AUACUUACCUGGCAGGGGAGACACCAUGAUCCAGGAAGGUGCUUUUCCAAGGGCAAGGCUCACCCAUUGCACUGCGGGUGUGCUCACCCCUGCGAUUUCCCCAAAUGUGGGAUAUUCGACUGCAUAAUUUGUGGUAGUGGGGGACUGCAUUCACACUCUCUCCUG
rnacentral:snRNA from 1 species